UGACCUGGACUGCAUUGUGUCUGUGACUCAGUUUUUAUACACAGCCUGGGGGGUGGGAGUGAUUCUUUUAAAAAAAGAAGUUACUGUCACAGAGAGUCCAAGAUUCGCCCCCUAUUUGACAUCUCUUUUGAGUAUAUUGGAUCUUUUAAGCCCAUCAGCUUUCUAAGCUGAAUCCAAAUAUGUUGAUGAAAUAGCAACCUUCUCAUGUCCCCACCACUUUUAUUAGGUUAUUGGCAAACUCUUCUUUCACUGAAAAAGUUGCCUAUAUAAAAGCAAUCCUCAGAGAACUGCUGAUUCUUCAGUGUAUCUGAAAAAAAAAAAUCAAGAAGCGUUUUGUUCAGGUUCAUAGCUUGUGCAAGGCAACAUACAGAUUGUAAAUGUGUUGAAAAUAGAUCUUUGGUGAUUAGAAGGAAAGAUAAAAAUGUGAUCAGUUAAGAAAUGGUAUCUUCCUUGUGUGACUUCCCCAGAAAGUUCCAUAGACUUUCAGGAUCAGGUGAGCACCCCGUGGUCUAGAACAGCUGAGAAUGCUUCUUUUUUUUGGGGGGGGGGUUAGGGGAGGGGUACUGGGGAUUGAACCCUGGUGCACUCAACCACUGAGCCACAUCACCAGCUCUAUUUUGUAUCUCAUUUAGAGACAGGGUCUCACUGAGUUGCUUAGCGCCUCACUUUUGCUGAGGCUGGCUUUGAACUUGCCAUCCUCCUGCUUCAUCCUUCUACGCCAUUGGGAUUAAAGGUGUGCACCACCAUGCCUGGCAUGAGAACGCUUCUUCAUGAGAAGGAAUUUGAGUUGGAUCAUCAGUCGGUGGAGAGGCUGAAACCUAUGCUUCAGGCUGCAGAACUGUGUGUGCAAAGCUUGUGCUUCAGGCUGCAGGAUUGUGUGUGCAAAGCUUGGCUAUACGAAGACACUGGGUUGGUUGGGAGAGAGCCUGGGGAGGAAGGACCGAGUCGGAUCACAAGGAGCUUGACACCACUGCUCUAUCAGAGUCAUGAGCAGAGCAGAGCUCCUUGGUCUGUGAGGCAUAAGACUUAUUUCAUGGCAAUGGAUGGCCUGGAAAGCACUCCUUGAGUUUGAGCUCAACAUGACCUUCAGGAUUGGCCUCUACUCAACAUCCCCAGGGUGAAGGCACCUACCAUCAAAAAUAAAUAUAAAUUA
rnacentral:lncRNA from 1 species